GCCAGUGUGGUAUAGUGGUUAUAGAGUUCCAGACUAGAACCUGGGAGACUGGGGUUCAAAUCCCCACUCAGUCAUGACA